AGUGGUGAGCAGGGGUUCUGGGCCAAGGCAGAUUACCUGCUCCCCACAGUCCAAGCCAUGACGAGCCAGCGCGGAAUGCCAGCUCCUGAAUGACACUUCUGUGAUGAACCCAGUUGCCCAACACUGCAAGCCACACUAGCAAAGGAAUUUUGCUAACUGAAGACUCCAGCUGAAGAGAAAGAAAGCUCUGAAGCAAGAGGGGAGGGCUAAAAGUAAGGAAAAAAGAACGGACACUGAGACUGCCUCAUCAUUAAUUUAGAGACACAGGAGGAAUGUACCAGAUAUCCCAAAGCAAGUAACCAUGGGGACUGAACAUCUGUAUUUCACUCACUCAGCCGACUUGAAAGGGAAGUAGGGACUCUGUCCUGCUAGGAUGAGCUCCGGAGCAGCCUCUGAGCAGCUCUCUAAGUAGCCCUUCCAUAAUUAACUUAUAAGGAAGACCAGGCAGGACAUUCUGCUCUCCAUGAAGUACCAAGGGAGAACAGAUGUUUCCCAGUCUCCAAGGGAAAAACUCAAGAGUGUAUCACUUCAUAGCACUAAUUCUUGAGCACAUAAAAAAAAAAUCAUCACAGCAAGGGAAACGAAUGAAGGAAGGCAAAGGCUGGCCCGAAGUACUUCAUGAAGCGCCCUGUGCUUGUACCCAGCGUGUUACUGGGCGUUUAAACCCACGCUGGUCCCGAGAGGGCCAACUUUGGAGAGAAAUAAAUAAAUAACCGAGCUCCA